rnacentral:Y_RNA from 1 species
AGCUGGUCCGAAGGUAGUGAGUUAUCUCAAUUGAUUGUUCACAGUCAGUUACAGAUUGAACUCCUUGUUCUACUCUUUCCCCCCUUCUCACUACUACACUUGACUAGUCUUUA